UUCGUCACCCGUUUCACGAACCGUCCUCUCUGGCCAAAUUCGGCAUUUUUUUCAAUUUUUAUUUUUUUGCAUUUUUUUCAUGUACUAAUAAAUACCUACAUUUUGUGAAAAUUUCAGAGUCUAACAUUGCGCGGUUACGUAAUAACGACGUCAUCGUAAAGCGUCCUCUUGCAAUAAAUUGGAUAUUUCUGUACCACGAACCGUCCUCUCUCGCGCUCGCGCGCUCAGGACACUUCGUGGUGAAGAAUUUGACGUAAAUUGAUCCGUCUGCUGCACCACGAAGCGGCCGCUUCCCUGGAAAGUUUGCCCGGAUCCAAUUAUUUCAUGUGGCUGUGCAACUUAGAGAAGGAGAUAUCUAAAACAAAGCAGGUAUGCCAAGACCAAAGAAGAGCAAAGGGAAAAGUGGAUCAAGACCGGAUAAAGGCUAUGAUGUUUUGGUGCAAUGGCAUUUGAAUGGUGCAAACAACAUUGUUCAUUCACCACUCCUUCAGUGGACAGGGAAGAUGACAAAAGGGAAAGAGGUGAUCAUGGACUAUGAAGGGACU